GCAGUCCUACGGGAGGCAGCAGUAGGGAAUUUUCGUCAAUGGGGGGAACCCUGAACGAGCAAUGCCGCGUGAGUGAAGAAGGCCUUCGGGUCGUAAAGCUCUGUUGUAAGAGAAAAACGGUAAUGAUAGGGAAUGAUCAUUAAGUGAUGGUAUCUUACGAGGAAGCCACGGCUAACUACGUGCCAGCAGCCGCGGUAAUACGGAGGAUGCGAGCGUUAUCCGGAUUUAUUGGGUUUAAAGGGUGCGUAGGCGGAAUGCCAAGUCAGCGGUAAAAUCGCGGGGCUCAACCUCGCUCCGCCGUUGAA
rnacentral:rRNA from 1 species